CCUACGGGAGGCAGCAGUCGGGAAUUUUGCGCAAUGGGGGAAACCCUGACGCAGCAAUACCGCGUGCGGGAUGAAGGCCUUCGGGUCGUAAACCGCUUUUCUCGGGGACGAUAAUGACGGUACCCGUGGAAUAAGCCACGGCUAACUACGUGCCAGCAGCCGCGGUAAUACGUAGGUGGCAAGCGUUGUCCGGAUUUACUGGGCGUAAAGCGCGCGCAGGCGGUGAACGAAGUCGAGAGUGAAAGCCCUGGGCUCAACUCAGGAACAGCUCUCGAAACCAGUUCACUUGAAGGCGGAAGAGGGAAGUGGAAUUCCGAGUGUAGUGGUGGAAUGCGUAGAUAUUCGGAAGAACACCAGAGGCGAAGGCGACUUCCUGGUCCGAUCUUGACGCUGAGGCGCGAAAGCUAGGGGAGCAAACGGGAUUAGAUACCCCAGUAGUC
rnacentral:rRNA from 1 species